rnacentral:rRNA from 1 species
UAGGGAAUCUUCGGCAAUGGACGGAAGUCUGACCGAGCAACGCCGCGUGAGUGAGGAAGGUUUUCGGAUCGUAAAGCUCUGUUGUAAGAGAAGAACGAGUGUGAGAGUGGAAAGUUCACACUGUGACGGUAUCUUACCAGAAAGGGACGGCUAACUACGUGCCAGCAGCCGCGGUAAUACGUAGGUCCCGAGCGUUGUCCGGAUUUAUUGGGCGUAAAGCGAGCGCAGGCGGUUAGAUAAGUCUGAAGUUAAAGGCUGUGGCUUAACCAUAGUACGCUUUGGAAACUGUUUAACUUGAGUGCAAGAGGGGAGAGUGGAAUUCCAUGUGUAGCGGUGAAAUGCGUAGAUAUAUGGAGGAACACCGGUGGCGAAAGCGGCUCUCUGGCUUGUAACUGACGCUGAGGCUCGAAAGCGUGGGGAGCAAACAGGAUUAGAUACCCUGGUAGUCCACGCCGUAAACGAUGAGUGCUAGGUGUUAGACCCUUUCCGGGGUUUAGUGCCGUAGCUAACGCAUUAAGCACUCCGCCUGGGGAGUACGACCGCAAGGUUG